GACGAACGCUGGCGGCGUGCUUAACACAUGCAAGUCGAGCGAUGAAGCACCUUCGGGUGUGAAUUAGCGGCGAACGGGUGAGGAACACGUGAGAAAUCUGCCUUCAACACUGGGAUAACUCCGGGAAACCGGGGCUAAUACCGGAUAUGAAACCUGCGGGCAUCCGCGGGUUUGGAAAGAAUUUCGGUCAAGGAUGAGCUCGCGGCCUAUCAGCUUGUUGGUGAGGUAAAAGCUCACCAAGGCGACGACGGGUAGCCGGCCUGAGAGGGUGACCGGCCACACUGGAACUGAGAUACGGUCCAGACUCCUACGGGAGGCAGCAGUGGGGAAUAUUGCGCAAUGGGCGAAAGCCUGACGCAGCCAAUCCGCGUGGGUGAUGAAGGCCUUCGGGUUGUAAAGCCCUGUCGUAGGGGACGAAUCAAUGACGGUACCCUACAAGAAAGCACCGGCUAACCCCGUG
rnacentral:rRNA from 1 species